UUGAUCCUGCCGGAGGCUACUGCUAUCGGGGUCCGACUAAGCCAUGCGAGUCGAGAGGGGUAAGCCCCCGGCGUAUUGCUCAGUAACACGCGGAUAACCUGCCCUUGGGUCCGGGAUAACCCCGGGAAACUGGGACUAAUACCGGAUAGAUCAAAGAUACUGGAAUGUUCCUUGGUCCAAAACUCCGGUGCCCAAGGAUGGGUCUGCGGCCUAUCAGGUUGUAGUGGGUGUAACGUACCUACUAGCCUACGACGGGUAAGGGUUGUGAGAGCAAGAGCCCUGAGAUGGAUUCUGAGACAUGAAUCCAGGCCCUACGGGGUGCAGCAGGCGCGAAAACUUUACACUGCUAGAAAUAGCGAUAAGGGGACCCCGAGUGCCAGUACCUAGUACUGGCUGUCCCGCUGUCUAAACAACAGUGGUUAGCAAGGGCCGGGCAAGACCGGUGCCAGCCGCCGCGGUAACACCGGCGGCCCGAGUGGUAGCCGUUAUUAUUGGGUUUAAAGGGUCCGUAGCCGGCUUAUUAAGUCUCUUGGGAAAUCUGGCGACUUAAUCGUCAGGCGUCCAAGAGAUACUGAUAGGCUUGGGACCGGGAGAGGUGGGAGGUACUCCCAGGGGUAGGGGUGAAAUCUCGUAAUCCUUGGGGGACCACCGAUGGCGAAAGGCAUCCCACCCAGAACGGGUCCGAACGUGAGGGGACGAAAAGCUGGGGGCACGAACCCGGAUUAGAUACCCGGGUAGUCCCAGCUGUAAACGAUGCUCGCUAGGUGUCANUGCGGGUGCGACCGCAUCUGGUGCCGCAGUGGAAAACUUGAAGCGAGUCACCUGGGGAAGUACGNCGCANGCUGAAACUUUAAAGAANUGGCGGGGGAGCACUACA
rnacentral:rRNA from 1 species